UGUAUAUCGUCAUUGCUGCGGUUAAAAAGCUCGUAGUUGGAUCUGAGUCGCAUGCAGUGAUUCGCCAUUGGCGUUAAUCGCUGUUGCGACUAUUUGCUGGUUUUCUACCAAAGUUUCGGCUUUUUUAGUGGCUAGCGAGUUUACUUUGAAUAAAUUAGAGUGCUCAAAACAAGCGUUUGCUUGAAUGCUCGAUCAUGGAAUAAUAAAAGAGGACUUCGGUUCUAUUUAUUGGUUCAGGAACUGAAAUAAUGGUUAAGAGGGACAAUUCGGGGGCAUUCGUAUCCCUGCGCGAGAGGUGAAAUUCGUGGACCGCAGGGGGACGCCCUAAAGCGAAAGCAUUUGCCAAGAAUGUCUUCAUUAAUCAAGAACG
rnacentral:rRNA from 1 species